rnacentral:tRNA from 1 species
GUAGCUCAGUUGGUAGAGCUCCAGCCUUCCAAGCUGGUUGUCGCGAGUUCGAGCCUC